GGUAGCCCAAAUAUAAUUCGACAAUAAUGCGAGUCGUGAUAAUUGAUGGUUGAAAACCUCAACUUACGCGUUGUCAUGCAUGACCACAUUGUUCGGCCUGAAUACCUCGACCUCGAAGGUGUUCCUCAUACCUCAAUGAUGACCCCAGGUCAAGCGGGAUCACCCACUUAGUUUAAGCAUAUCAAUAAGCAGAGGAAAAGAAACUUACAAGGAUUUUCCUAGUAACAAUGAGCGAACCGAGAAAAGCCCAACUUGAGAAUCAGACGGCCCCAACGUUUGAAUUGUAGUCUGGAAAAACUUACCCUGCCGCACCAUGAGGUGCUGUUGGCGAGUCGGGUUGUUUAGAAAUGUAGUCGGGUGGUAAAUUCCAUCCAAGGCUAAAUAUUGACUAGAUACCGAUAGCGAACAAGUACCACGAGGGAAAGAUGAAAAGAACUUUGAAAACAGAGUCAAAGAAUACUUGAAAUUAUAGAGAGGGAAGCAGAUAGGGGUAGACGAUGCGUCCCGAUAGGAUGUGGAAUGGUGAAGAGUUGGUCUGACGAUUGACUCGGGGCAUGGACCAACACAAAUUGAGGCAGUGGCCAAAGCUCGAGCAGUCGACAUGCCCGUGGAAUGUCAUCUCCCCGAUUCUGGCGGUAGCGCAUACCCUCGGCAUGCAUCGAUACCUCCGCGCUCUUGGUGCUGGCCUACAGGCUUCCUAUUCAAUCUAUCUUGAAAUACGAACCAAGGAGUCUGACAUGUGUGCAAGUCAAUUGGGGAGUAAACUCGUAAGGCUCAAGGAUGCUAAUUGGCAUGAUCUCCUAAGGAGUGCAAUAUCGAUCGACCUAUAUCUUUUGAGAAGUUUGAGUGCGAGCAUACCUGUGGGGAUCUAAAAGAUGGUGAGCUAUGCCUGAGCAGGGUGAAGCCAGAAGAAACUCUGGUGGAGGCCCGCAGUGAUACUGAUGUGCAAAUCGUUCGUCUGACUUAGGUAUAGUGACGAAAGACUAAUCGAACCAUCUAGUAGCUGGUUCUCUCCAAAGUUUUCCUCAGGAUAGUUGGAGCUUGGGCAUGAGUUCUAUUGAGUAAAGCCAAUGAUUAGAGGUAUUGGGGACGCAACAGGCUCGAGCUAUUCUUAAACUUUAAAUAGCUAGAUGGCGCGACUGCUUCAUUGAGCCGCGUCACUAAAUUGAGAGCUCCAAAUGGGCCAUUUUUGGUAAGCAAAACUAGCGAUGUGGGAUGAACUGAAAGUCGAGUUACGGUACCCAACUGCGUGCUAACCUAGAUCCCACAAAGGGUGUUGGUCGAUUAAGACAAUAGGACGGCGGUCAUGGAAGUCGAAAUCCACUAAGGAGUGUGUAAAACCUCAUCUGUCAAAUCAACUAGCCCUAAAAAUGGAUGGCGCUGAAGCAUACGACCUAUAACCGAUCGUCGGGGCAAGCGCCAGGCCCUGAUGAGUAGGACGGCACCACGAUCACUCCAAAACUUUGAGUGCAAGUGGACGUCAGUGCGGAUCUAGGUGGUAGUAGCAAAUAUUCAAAUGGGAACUUUGCAGGCCGAGAGGGAAAAUGUUCUGUGUGAAUGGCACUUGCACAUGGGUUAGUCGAUUCUAAGGGACGGGAAAAGCCCAACAGACAGUGCACUUCAUACAUGCACUGAAAGGAAAUUGGAAUAAAAUUCCUGAACCGAAACGCAACGAUUGACGACAACAUAAGGGAGUCUGGAGACGUCGGCAGGGGCCUUGGGAAGAGUUAUCUUUUUUGUUUAACAGUCGGACCACCCUGGAAAUGGCUCAAUUGGAGGUAGGGUCCAGCUGUGAGAAGAGCAUCGCACAUCUUGUGGUGUUCGGUGCACUCCUGAUGACCCUUCAAGAUCUGGAGGAUCGAGUACCGUCCGCAUCCAAUCAUACUCAUAACCCCAUCAGGUCUCCAAGGUGAACAGCCUCUGGUCUAUGGAACAAUGUAGGUAAGGAAAGUUGGCAAAAUGGAUCCAUAACUUCGGGAAAAGGAUUCGCUCUGAGGGCUGGGCAUGAAGGUCCCAGUCCCUAACUUGUCGGCUGUCGAUGGACUGUUCGAUUUACUCCCGCGGUGAGAGCGGGUCAUCGCGUGUCGAUCUGGGAAUGGACUGGGAACGGCUCCUUCAGGGACCUUUCUUGAGCGUCGAAUAGUCAGCUCAGGACUAGUAUGGACAAGGAAAAUUUGACUUUUUAAUUAAAAUAAAGCAUUGCGAUGGUCCCCGUGGAUGCUCACAGAAUGUGAUUUCUUCCCAGUACUCUGAAUGUCAAAGUGAAGAAAUUCAACCAAGCGCGGGUAAACGGCGGGAAUAACUAUGACUCUCUUAAGGUAGCCAAAUGCCUCGUCAUCUAAUUAGUGAUGUCCAUGAAUGGAUUAACGAGAUUUCUAUCUACUAUCCAGCGAAACCACAGCCAUGGAAACGGGCUUGGCAGAAUCAACACGGAAAGAAGACUCUGUUGAGUUUGACUCUGGUCCGACUUUGUGAAAUGACUUGAGAGAUGUAGGAUAAGUGGGGACAGAAAGAAGAAAGUGAAAUACCACUACUUUUAAUGUUAUUUUACUUAUUUUAUGAAUCAUAGGUGGGGCACUGCCCCUCUUUUUAGACCUAAGGCUCGCUUCACGGGCCAAUUCGGGCGGAACACAUUGUUAGGUAGGAAGUUUCCUAGGGUAGCACAUCUGUUAAAAGAUAAUGCAGGUCCUAAGAUGAGCUCAACGAGAACGGAAAUCUCGUGUGGAACAAAAGGGUAAAAGCUCAUUUGAUUCUGAUUUCCAGUACGAAUACCAACCAUGAAAGGUGGCCUAAUGAUCCUUUAGACCUUCAAAAUUUGAAGCUAGAGGUGUCAGAAAAGUUACCACAGGGAUAACUGGCUUGUGGAGGCCAAGUGUCCAUAGCGACGUUGUUUUUUAAUCCUUCGAUGUCAGCUCUUCCUUUCAUUGUAAAGUAGAAUUCACCAAGUGUUGGACUGUUCACCCACCAAUAGGGAACAUGAGCUAGACUGAUUGCCUGAACAGGUUAGUUUUAUCCUACUGAUGACAAUGUCGCAAUAGUAAUUCAACCUAGUAUGAGAGGAACCAUUGAUUCGCACAAUUGGUCAUCGUGCUUGGUUGAAAAGCUAGUGGCCUGAAGCUACCGUGUACUAGAUUAUGACUCCAUCAAGCGACGGGUAGAAUCCUUUGCAGACGACUUAAAUACUUGAUGGGGUAUU
rnacentral:rRNA from 1 species